AUGCCUAACACAUGCAAGUCGAACGAAGGCUUCGGCCUUAGUGGCGCACGGGUGCGUAACGCGUGGGAAUCUGCCCUCAGGUUCGGAAUAACAGCGAGAAAUUGCUGCUAAUACCGGAUGAUAUCGCGAGAUCAAAGAUUUAUCGCCUUUAGCUAGUUGGUGUGGUAAAGGCGCACCAAGGCGACGAUCCUUAGCUGGUCUGAGAGGAUGAUCAGCCACACUGGGACUGAGACACGGCCCAG
rnacentral:rRNA from 1 species